UAGGGAAUCUUCGGCAAUGGGGGGAACCCUGACCGAGCAACGCCGCGUGAGUGAAGAAGGUUUUCGGAUCGUAAAGCUCUGUUGUUAAGGAAGAACGAGUGUGAGAAUGGAAAGUUCAUGCUGUGACGGUACUUAACCAGAAAGGGACGGCUAACUACGUGCCAGCAGCCGCGGUAAUACGUAGGUCCCGGGCGUUGUCCGGAUUUAUUGGGCGUAAAGCGAGCGCAGGCGGUUAGAAAAGUCUGAAGUGAAAGGCAGUGGCUCAACCAUUGUAGGCUUUGGAAACUGUUUAACUUGAGUGCAGAAGGGGAGAGUGGAAUUCCAUGUGUAGCGGUGAAAUGCGUAGAUAUAUGGAGGAACACCGGUGGCGAAAGCGGCUCUCUGGUCUGUAACUGACGCUGAGGCUCGAAAGCGUGGGGAGCGAACAGG
rnacentral:rRNA from 1 species